GGCGUCUCCGAGGGGUGCCCUGAAACGGGCUGAGAUGGUGUAAACCGGACCCUUUGAACCUGAUCUGGGUCAUGCCAGCGAAGGGACGGUGGCAAUGGCUUUU
rnacentral:ncRNA from 2 species